rnacentral:sRNA from 1 species
AAGUCGUAACAAGGUUUCCGUAGGUGAACCUGCGGAAGGAUCAUUAUUGAAUUUUGAAGCGGGGUUCUUGAGCUGGCACUGCAGGUGCUCAGAGCCUCCAUUCAUUCCAAUUCAACCCCUGUGCACUUUUGAGAACCGAUAAGUUGGGUACGGAGCACGGUUCAUUUCCUUUUUUGGGUUGAACUUAGUGAAGUGUCCGCUUUCGUGUUUCUUAUUACAAACUCUAUAUAUUGUUUUGUAGAAUGUAUCGCCUUUGAUUAGGCAAAGUCUAAAUACAACUUUCAACAACGGAUCUCUUGGCUCUCGCAUCGAUGAAGAACGCAGCGAAAUGCGAUAAGUAAUGUGAAUUGCAGAAUUCAGUGAAUCAUCGAAUCUUUGAACGCACCUUGCGCUCCUUGGUAUUCCGAGGAGCAUGCCUGUUUGAGUGUCAUUAUAUUCUCAACUCUCUUGAUUUUUUUGAAUCGCUUGAGUUGGAUUUGGAGGUUUUUAUGCUGGCCCUCACGGAUCGGCUCCUCUUAAAUGCAUUAGCUGAGCUUUUACUUGAUGCAAUGGUGUAAUAAUUAUCUUCACCGAUGUAACUAGUGAAAUAGGCUUGCUUCUAAUCGUCUCUUAAUCGAGACACUAUAAGAAAAAGGGCAACCUUUUCUUUGACUCUCUUGACCUCAAAUCAGGUAGGACUACCCGCUGAACUUAAGCAUAUCAAUAAGCGGAGGAAAAGAAACUAACAAGGAUUCCCCUAGUAACUGCGAGUGAAGCGGGAAAAGCUCAAAUUUAAAAUCUGGCGGUUCUGCCGUCCGAGUUGUAAUCUGGAGAAGCGUUUUCUGUG